UAAUCGUAACACUUUUCUAAU
rnacentral:piRNA from 1 species